CAGCCGCCGCGGUAAUACGAAGGGUGCAAGCGUUAAUCGGAAUUACUGGGCGUAAAGCGUGCGUAGGCGGUUUGUUAAGUCUGUUGUGAAAUCCCCGGGCUCAACCUGGGAAUGGCAAUGGAUACUGGCAAGCUAGAGUGUGUCAGAGGAUGGUGGAAUUCCCGGUGUAGCGGUGAAAUGCGUAGAGAUCGGGAGGAACAUCAGUGGCGAAGGCGGCCAUCUGGGACAACACUGACGCUGAGGCACGAAAGCGUGGGGAGCAAACAGGAUUAGAUACCCCGGUAGUCCCUGUCUCUUAUAA
rnacentral:rRNA from 1 species